ensembl:lncRNA
GUGACAGUAAAUGGUCAACCCUACUACGACUCUGUCUUCAUUGGCUACGGUUUAACUCGGUGUUAAGUCAGAGUUACAACACACUGCACGAGAACACUACAGUGAAAAGGCAGCAUUGGAUGUUUUGAAGUGGUCGCCAUGGCAAGCAACAGAUCGUCUGUCGGCAGUGCUAAGAGCAUCAAAACAUCAGCAUCAUCAGUAAGCGCAGCCCGCGUCCGGGCCGAAGCAGAAGCUGCAAAGGCAAAGUCACAUGACACUUUCAUGACAUGGCAUCCAGCGGAGGAAGACGACUAUCAACCACAACCUGUCAGCAAGGAAAAUGCUGACAGUAAACAACCAUCGCCACCACAUUUACAUGACCCAACUAAAGCUGAGACAAAGGCUAAGGUUAGUAGAGCUAACCCCAUCAUGCACGCUCAUGCUCCGUCGUAUACUCUGCUACAUUCCCCUCAAACUGGCACACCCAUGUCCCCUUUAGGGGAGCCUUUGGCACGACGAGACCUUGUGACUUCAGGGCUGUACCAGUUCGAUGACAAGCCAGAGAAUUAUCGGGCAUGGUACUCCUCUUUCUCCAGUGCAGCCAGUGAAGUUAACCUCACAGCAACCCAAGAGUUGGACCUCAUGACCAAAUGGCUGGGAAAAGAAUCUAGCGAACAGGUUAAACGCAUACGAUCGGUGCAUGUCAACAACCCCAAUCUGGCUCUAGACAAAGCAUGGGAACGGUUGCGUGAAUCCUAUGCCGCCCCCGAAGUCAUUGAAAAGUCAAUGUUUCAGCGCUUAGACAACUUUCCGAAGAUUUCAGCCAAGGAUCAUUUGAAGUUACGUGAACUUGGAGAUCUACUUACGGAGAUCCAAGGUGCUAAAGAAGAUGGAUAUCUGGCCGGCUUGUCCUACCUGGACACCUCACGCGGCAUUGGACCAAUCGUAGACAAACUUCCUUACGGGCUUCAGGAGAAGUGGGUGUCUGCAGGGUCACGGUACAAAGAAGGAAAC